AUUGAACGCUGGCGGCAGGCUUAACACAUGCAAGUCGAGUGGAGUGAUGGUGCUUGCACUAUCACUUAGUGGCGGACGGGUGAGUAAUGCUUAGGAAUCUGCCUAUUAGUGGGGGACAACAUCUCGAAAGGGAUGCUAAUGCCGCAUACGUCCUACGGGAGAAAGCAGGGGAUCACUUGUGACCUUGCGCUAAUAGAUGAGCCUAAGUCGGAUUAGCUAGUUGGUGGGGUAAAGGCCUACCAAGGAGACGAUCUGUAGCGGGUCUGAGAGGAUGAUCCGCCACACUGGGACUGAGACACGGCCCAGACUCCUACGGGAGGCAGCAGUGGGGAAUAUUGGACAAUGGGGGGAACCCUGAUCCAGCCAUGCCGCGUGUGUGAAGAAGGCCUUAUGGUUGUAAAGCACUUUAAGCGAGGAGGAGGCUCUUUUGGUUAAUACCCAAGAUGAGUGGACGUUACUCGCAGAAUAAGCACCGGCUAACUCUGUGCCAGCCGCCGCGGUAA
rnacentral:rRNA from 1 species